GUUCGGCCGCCGAACCCCUUGUGGAGGCAGUUCGGCUGCCAAAGGUUGCCCCCGAAAGCUAGGCUUUCGGUUUAGAAAGAGACUUUCGGCCGCCGAAAGAGGGAGUUCGGCCGCCGAAAGUGUGUGAGUUUCGUCUCUGGAGUGGGGUUUCGGCCGCCGAACCUGCCGCCGAAAGUGCCCUGUCCAGCUUUCUUUUGCAUGGUUUAUGUGAUGGUUUUAGGAUUGUUUAGAGAGGUUUUGGGGAGUUUCGUAAAGAUGUUC
rnacentral:lncRNA from 1 species